UGGGGAAUAUUGCACAAUGGAGGGAACUCUGAUGCAGCGACGCCGCGUGAACGAAGAAGGCUUUCGAGUCGUAAAGUUCUUUUAUAUGGGAAGAUAAUGACGGUACCAUAAGAAAAAGCCCCGGCUAACUACGUGCCAGCAGCCGCGGUAAUACGUAGGGGGCUAGCGUUGUCCGGAAUCACUGGGCGUAAAGGGUUCGCAGGCGGAAAUGCAAGUCAGGUGUAAAAGGCGAAGGCUCAACCUUCGUAAGCAUCGGAAACUGUCAAGCUUGAGUGAAGGAGAGGCAAGUGGAAUUCCUAGUGUAGCGGUGGAAUGCGUAGAUAUUAGGAGGAAUACCGGUGGCGAAGGCGACUUGCUGGACUUCAACUGACGCUGAGGAACGAAAGCGUGGGUAGCAAACAGG
rnacentral:rRNA from 2 species